rnacentral:rRNA from 1 species
UAAUACAGAGGGUGCGAGCGUUAAUCGGAAUUACUGGGCGUAAAGCGCGCGUAGGCGGCUUUGCAAGUCGGGUGUGAAAUCCCCAGGCUUAACCUGGGAACUGCAUUCGAGACUGCAUUGCUAGAGUAUGGGAGAGGGAAGUGGAAUUUCCGGUGUAGCGGUGAAAUGCGUAGAUAUCGGAAGGAACAUCAGUGGCGAAAGCGACUUCCUGGACCAAUACUGACGCUCAUGUGCGAAAGCGUGGGGAGCAAACAGGAUUAGAUACCCUGGUAGUCCACGCCAUAAACGAUGAGGACUAGACGUUGGAGGGGUAAGCCUUUCAGUGUCGUAGCUAACGCGCUAAGUCCUCCGCCUGGGGAGUACGGCCGCAAGGUUG